ACACAAAAUGAGCUUUGUUGCAUAAAACUGUGGUUUGGAACUAACACUUACUCUGGAGCAAAGAAUCCAUUGAAAGAGUUUGAAAAACUCCAGUCAAUAAGGCAGAGACUUUUCUUUGAGUACCAGAGAGACAAGAAAUCACACCAUUUAAAAGAAAGAGGCAGCAAGGAUUCUCCCUCUUGCAACAACUAUUCAGCCACAGGAGUUUCUGUAAGUGCUGUUUCACUUCUCCCCUUAGCUUCCCAGCACUGUCCUACAGUUCAGACUGUCACUAUCACAACUGGGUAGAGGUGAGAUUUUAAUUAAUCUGGUGGAAUCAGAAAGACGGCUUGGGCAUGGCUGCGGUGUAAGAUACAAUUAAAAGAAUUUUUUACUGUGUCUGAACCAAGCUUGAGUUAAUCCUGAAGCUAAUUUGAGAUCAAAAGCACAGAGACUGUUUGAAAUCUUAUCUGAAUCAGAUUGCCAGAUCAUUUAAGGCAAACAUUAAAUAAGAUUGCUU
rnacentral:lncRNA from 1 species